AUAGCAGUGAUGGAAAUCCUAAUGAAGCCGGGUGGUGGGACGCCAUCCUGGCCUCACGUGGUCCCGAGUCCUCUGUGCCCCGUAAUUUGAUGAGUUCCUGCCAGAGCUCGGAAGGGAGAUGCUGUCAACCUGUCAAUCAUGCAGGGUCCCCAGCUGAAGACACUAAGGCAUAGAGGAGUCGUAAAUUGUUCCAGUAAAUUGAUGUCACCUGAGAUGCCCUUCAGUCUGGGGUUGCAAGGCUGCUGGCCCUUCUGCCCAUCCUCAGGGGACGCUGCCCCGGGGCAUAGGGCUGUCCUCUGGGUGAGCAGAAAGACUAUCUGCUGCUCGGCUCCCGUCAUGCUGGGGCCGUGGGAAUUCUCAGCCAAAGGGUGUUUGCAAGCUGCUUCUGAUCGGCCCUGAACACUGCUGCCGAGGCGGGGAGGGGAAGACAGGAAAACACCGAGUUCUGCACCACAGGAAAUCACGUUGGAAAGCUGUGAAAAUCAUGUCUCCUUUUGAGGCAUAAUGGUUUUAAUUUUCUCAGGCCCUGAUCUCCCUGGCAACAAUUUAGAAGAGCAUAAGCAUUCAUGAAUCAAAGUUGGGCACGUCUGCAGGUUUAAUUAUGUGUUAUUGGAUGGAAACUUUCCUUUUGAUCUUAGCAUUUAAAGGGAUUUACACUUUAACAAUUACAUUUUUCCCUCCCAA